UUCCUGGUGGCUCAGAUGGUAAAGAAUCUGCUUGCAAUACAGGAGACCCAGGUUCAGUUCUUGGUCAGGGAA
rnacentral:tRNA from 1 species